rnacentral:rRNA from 1 species
AGUGAACGCUGGCGGUAGGCCUAACACAUGCAAGUCGAACGGCAGCACAGUAAGUGCUUGCUCUUACGGGUGGCGAGUGGCGGACGGGUGAGGAAUACAUCGGAAUCUACUUUUUCGUGGGGGAUAACGAAGGGAAACUUACGCUAAUACCGCAUACGACCUACGGGUGAAAGCAGGGGAACUUCGGACCUUGCGCGAUUGCAUGAGCCGAUGUCGGAUUAGCUAGUUGGCGGGGUAAAGGCCCGCCAAGGCGACGAUCCGUAGCUGGUGUGAGAGGAUGAUCACCCACACUGGAACGUGGACACGGUCCAGACUCCUACGGGACGCAGCAGUGGGGAAUAGUGGACAAUGGGCGCAAGCCUGAUCCAACCAUACCGCGUGGGUGAAGAAGGCCUUCGGGUUGUAAAGCCCUUUUGCUGGUAAAGAAAAGCAGCAGGUUAAUACCCCGCCGUUCUGACGGUACCCAAAGAAUAAGCACCGGCUAACUUCGUG